GGUCCUGAAAAAGGGACUUUUCUUUUUUUGCUGAGUUUAUAUAUUUCGACAAGGUGAAAUGUCUAUCUGUCCCCUUGACAUCUUGAAGCAAGUGAGGACAGCAGACUGUGAUAGGGAGAGAUUGAAAAUGACUAGUCACUUGAAAAAAACAGCUGUCGAAUGUGCUGACAACAGGAUGCUGGAGAUUCUUCAUUUAGAAAAUCACGGCAACUCUGAGAAUGAGGCUGUUUGUUGCUGGAGCGAGGGAAGGCCAUCUCCCUCGACUCCUGGCCAUGAUUUAUUUGAAACGCUGCACCCUGAUCCCAGCCCUGCUGUUCAGUCCUACUUACUCUACCUGACAACAACGCAUCGCUCUUCCUCAUUCUCUCACACACACUAACACAUCAUCAGCCUAUUUCUGCUAGUUGGAGCUGGGCUGGCUGGUUGCAGUCCUUAUUUAUGAAGUGAUGUAGUUUCUAAUAAUAGCAGUAAUUCAGUGUAAUCCACACACUCUGACUGACAGGAAAACACUACUGGGCAGCCAUUAAGGCACCUCUGAACACCUUCUAUUAGUUGAAUAUAGAGAAUAAUCUGACUCUUGCCAUUUGGAAAUGUGUUUUUAGUAGUCUAGUAGCUAAGACUUUUAUUGUUUUGCUAUAGACCCACAUAAAUAAAAUUCUCCAUUAGUGCAGGUAACACGAAACUGACCUAGGUCGUACUGCAGCUGCGCAUUUCAUCCAACAACAGUAAUCUUGGAUGACCGACGGUCCAAGGCAGCGGGGGACGGGGAUACCACCACCUCCUAAUCCAGUGAAGAGAGGUUGGGAAGAGUGGCCCUGAAGAAAGAGAUUGGCCUUGUCAGCGCGCGUGGAAUUAUUGUAACAUAAUCGGGUCAGGGAUCAUUGUGAGCCCAAAGGGCGUUAUGGAGAAUGCCAGCUCUGUGGGGCUGGCUCUCGUAGUGUGGAUUGUCACCGGAGUGAUCACAGCCAUUGGUGCACUGCUUUGCUGAACUGGGCGCCACUAUCCCUAAGUCUGGAGGAGACUACUCAUACGUCAAGGAGGUCUUUGGGAGGACUUGCCGGGUGAGAGAAAUGCACGGUGAUGAGAUAAUGCAUGUUGGUCAUUACACGAAAUGAAUCCAUUUUUGGAUAGUGUAACUUGGUGGGAGAACUUUUUAUUUGACAAUUCUGUCAUGAAGAGCACAUGUCCAACUUAAAGGUCCCAACUAGUGGAAAUCAUGUUUUUCAUCACAUUGAAUGAUAUUUUGAUGAAUCCAGUUCAUAGUUGGGUGACCCAAGUAUGAAAAAUGACUGUAGCUGGUACAUUUACACAGUUUAUCAUAAAGCAAGUAGUCCCCCCAUCCCCUGUGUAAUUGUAUACACCAAUGGUAGCAUUUUACAAUCUUAACUAAUUUAAAUAUGUAUUGUUAACACCUUAAAACACUCAUCGCAUGUGUGCGUCAUACGGCUUUGUUUACAAACCGUAAAAUAGCGCAAGCAGAACGAUACUGGUAACCAACCCCUUCUCAUCUGUGUAGUGACUUUUAGCUAGCGCGUUACUUACCAGCAUGCCGUAAAAAGAGAACUGUUUAGUGGCUGCUUUUCAUAAUGGGUGGACGGGCUGCACCGAAAAUUACAAUCAUGUGACGUGUGUGCACAGCCUAUAAUGUUUUUGAAAGGGGAAAUGUUUGUUAAAAUGGCUAGUGAAUUUAAUCUCCUUUAAUUUACUGCUCUGAGAUAUAAUGCUAUCAAGUUGUUUAUGUAGUGAUCUACUCAUUCUACAAUUUGUUUCUGGUAUUUUUGAGAAAAUAUUUGGACAUGCUUUUUUUUGGUGAAACAUUGCAGUGUUUGUAUUUGGAAUAUGCCUGCCUGGAAAUGCUCAAUUGAUUUAAAACUAUGACUGACAGCAUGUUGGGUCCGCCUUCACAGGCUUCACAGCAUAUCCCCCUUCUUUACCUUGGGAAAGCUGAUUUUUGUAUGACAGCAUUCCUGCUGUGAUGGUUGCCUGGGAAGCUGUGCAGAACAGGCUCCUGGAUCUCCUCUUCAACUAGGUCACCCUUGAUCCAGCACUGUAUGUGGGGAUGCUGUGCAAGCUGUCCAUCGCAGAACCCCUGUGCCCAGUGUGAGAGGCCUCCAUGACAGAGGCCUGACAAGGAGGAAGCCCUAGCUGGAUUUGUCUCCCGCUUCAAUCUUGGGAAUGACUGAAGCCAAGUGCGUGACUGAAGCCUGCAUAAUUGAAGCAAGGUACAUGGGUCCCCCUCCUCUCCCGCUCCCCUCCCAUCAAUCUCUGUAGUUGGUUGCAUUUUCUAAAGCAAUGAACUUUUACGUCAUAAGAUAUCACCUUUUGUUACUUUUUAUAGUUUUUUUUCAAGCAUUUGAAUGGGAGAUGAGUGUUACAAAUUGUACAAAUGAAUGAGAUCCUGCACACUGUAGGGUUGCCAAAUGCCUAUAUUAGGCUCUAUGCCUCUAAUAUAUUUGUUUCUCAUUCAAAUGAUGUCUUACCAUUAUUUCUCAUGGGUGUUCAAGUUGAUCAAUAUUUUGGCAAUGUUGGCCAAUUGUAAAUUAGUGAAUAACUGUCUGAUCAAUACAUUAAAUUCUGAACAUAUUGUCAUUUAUAAUGCUAUUUACUCAUUCUUGUGAAGUAUACUGAACAAAAAUAUAAACGCAACAUGUAAAGUGUUGGUUUC